AGUGAACGCUGGCGGUAGGCCUAACACAUGCAAGUCGAACGGCAGCACAUUAAUAGCUUGCUCUUACGGGUGGCGAGUGGCGGACGGGUGAGGAAUACAUCGGAAUCUACUUUUUCGUGGGUUAUAACGUAUGGAAACUUACGCUAAUACCGCAUACGACCUACUGGUGAAAGCAGGGGAUCUUCGGACCUUGCGCGAUUGAAUGAGCCGAUGUCGGAUUAGCUAGUUGGCGGGGUAAAGGCCCACCAAGGCGACGAUCCGUAGCUGGUCUGAGAGGAUGAUAAGCCACACUGGAACUGAGACACGGUCCAGACGACUAAGGGAGGCAGCAGUGGGGAAUAUUGGACAAUGGGCGCAAGCAUGAUCCAGCCAGACCGCGUGGGUGAAGAAGGCCUUCGGGUUGUAAAGACCUUUUGUUGGGAAAGAAAAGCAGCAGGUUAAUACCCAGCUGUUCGGAAAGUACCCAAAGAAUAAGCAACGGCUAAAUUAGUG
rnacentral:rRNA from 1 species